rnacentral:rRNA from 1 species
AAACGUUUCAAGUCAGUCGCAUUGGCCAGUAAUCAACCUUGCAAUCUUGCGAGGCUUAUUUUCUGGUUGAUGGGUCAGCAUCAAUUUUGACUGUUAGAGAAAGGCUUGAGGAAUGUGGCAUCUUCGGAUGUGUUAUAGCCUCUGGUCCCACAUAAUGGUCGGGAUUGAGGAACUCAGCAUGCCCUUCA